rnacentral:rRNA from 1 species
AGAGGGUUCGGCCCUCGGCUGCACUGCUCAGUAACACGUGGGAUAAUCUGCCCUAAGGUGGAGGAUAACCUCGGGAAACUGAGAAUAAUACUCCAUAGGUCUAAGAUACUGGAAUGUUCUUAAGCUAAAAACUCCGGUGCCUUAGGAUGAGUCUGCGGACUAUCAGGUUGUAGUCAGGGUAAAGACCUGACUAGCCUAUGACGGAUAUGGGUUGUGGGAGCAAUAACCCAGAGAUGAUAUCUGAGACACGAUAUCAGGCCCUACGGGGCGCAGCAGGCGCGAAAACUUCACAAUGUGCGAAAGCGCGAUGAGGGAAUCCCAAGUGCUUGCACGUAAGUGUAAGCUGUUUCUUUGUUUAAAAAGCAUAGAGAGUAAGGGCUGGGUAAGACGGGUGCCAGCCGCCGCGGUAAUACCUGCAGCUCAAGUGGUGAUCGUUAUUAUUGGGCCUAAAACGUUCGUAGCCGGUUUAGUAAAUGCCUGGGUAAAUCGUGUAGCUUAACUAUACGAAUUCCGGGUAGACUGCUAAACUUGAGACCGGGAGAGGCUAGAGGUACUCCUGGGGUAGAGGUGAAAUUCUGUAAUCCUAGGGGGACCACCAGUGGCGAGGGCGUCUAGCUAGAACGGGUCUGACGGUGAGGGACGAGCCCUAGGGCGCA